rnacentral:lncRNA from 1 species
CUUUUGUUUUAUUAUUUUAUAGUCACAGAUGAUCAGACACAUCAUUUUAGAAAAGAAAUUGAUAUUUUGCUUGUCAAAAAAAAUUAUAAUACAAUUUUCUCCAAUAUAGAUUAUGUACAGAAUGAGAUUGUAAUAGAAGCAUCAUCAUGUCUCUGUAAUAAAGAUGAUGAGGGACUGAGGGGGGCCAAAAGGCCACAGCACAGAACCCAUCUUCUCUACCAAUAAAUAUAAACUGUAUAUAUGGUGUAUGUAUGUAUGUGUGUGUGUGUGUGUGUGUGUGUGUGUGUGUGUGUAUACAGUACACUACCGGUCAAAGGUUUUAGAACACCUACUCAUUCAAGGGUUUUUCUUUAUUUUUACUAUUUUCUACAUUGUAGAAUAAUAAAAAAAAGGGUGGCUAUUUGAAGAAUCUCAAAUAUAAAAUAUAUUUAGAUUUGUUUAACACUUUUUUGGUUACUACAUGAUUCCAUAUGUGUUAUUUCAUAGUUUUGAUGUCUUCACUAGUAUUCUACAAUGUAGAAAAUAGUAAAAAUAAAGAAAAACCCUUGAAUGAGUAGGUGUGUCCAAACUUUUGACAUUUGGCCUCACCAGGCAUGAAGGAGACCAGGACAAGUGAUAUUACAGGGCAAUGGAUUUCCAUCAUCAGUUCUGUACAUCACCUUGUACAUCAUCAUGUGUGCUUCACACACACACACACACACACACACACACACACACACACACACACACACACACACACACACACACACACACACACACACACACACACACACACACACACACACAGAUCAACACACAAGCAAGCGCACGCUGGGGCCAGAUACGAAAUUACAGUCGGGUUACAACAAUAGGCCAUCUCAAGUCAAAAAGAAAGAAAGGACGAAUGAAAGGAAGAGAAAACCGUGUGAAGAUACCCAUCUUUGUUCCUCUUUGAUCAGAGCAGAAGCAUGGUUAUCUGAUCAGAACAGAAGCAUGGUUAUCUGAUCAGAGCAGAAGCAUGGUUAUCUGAUCAUAGCGUGUUGGUGCCAGCAGAGUAGCACUUGACAUUUGGCAUGAUUCAAAUGGCCAGUUCCACAGGAAGCAACUCGGCUGGAAAAUAUUACUGUCUCACAGUCUGCCUCUCUCUCUCUCUCUCUCUUACUCCUCUCUCUCUCUCCUUCCCUAUACCUCCCUUCUAGCCUCCCCAUCUCUCUACCUUUCUCUGCCUCGUUGUCUCCUUGUCCCUCUACCUCCCUUCUAGCCUCUACCCGUAAAAAUAUCUCUCCUUCUCUGCCUCUCAAUCUUUCUCUCUCGAUCUCGAGCAGGGCAGGUGCUAUGAAAAGACUCAAGGACUCUCUCUCUCCCCUUUAGAAUAAAAAUGCUGCGAACAAAAAGCACCCUAUCAAGACAAAGGACCUCACUGACGAUCACAGAACAGAACGACCACAAAAAAACAGACAACAGCAAAGUAAAGCCAGACCAAGGCAACAGAUAGAAAUCUGAAGAGAGGAGUGGGGAAGGACUAGAUUGAUCCCAGAUCUGUUUGUUUAUAGCCAGCCACUCCUAUGCUCUUUGUACAUUUAACACAAUGUGAUCUGGGACCAGACUAGAGGAGGACCUUGUUGUUCAAGCACUGUUUCUUUCCCCUCUCAAUGGACGCACAUAACCUCAAACUCAAAAAAAACUCCCUUGUGCUUUCUGAACGGAGAGAAUUAUGACCUGGUGCCAUGAAGAUGAGAUGAGAAAACACCACCACUUGGAUUAAAUAAAAAUGAUAAAUAAUUGAUCUCUUUAGCCGGUUAAUUAUUGUUGUUUCCCCUCCAUCUAACCUCUGGAUGAGAGGAUGUGAUAGAAGAAGAGAGACGGAGGGAGCGAGAGAGAGAGAGACAAAGAGACAGAAAGACAGAGAGCACACAUGAGAGAGAAAGAGACAGAGAGAGAGAGGGAGAGGAGGAUGGGAGGAAAGGGCCUGUGAAGGGAAGAUAGCAACAAAUAAUUGUUAUCUUGCUGACUGUGUUAAUCAGUGUGCCAAUUCACUAGUGUAAAACAUGUCAGGCUUUAAACUCCAGUGUGAGAGGUGGAAUGGAGGAUGGGACAAAGGGGGCUGCACUGAGGUCAAAGGACUGAGGACAUCAAGUCCAUCAACAGUAACCUAGGGCAAACCUAGGGCACUACUUUUGGCCAGAGGCUUAGGUUUUAGUGCAGUAGGAGAUAGGGUACCACUUCAGAUUUAACUAAUGGUUACUGAAUACUGAUGACUGAGUUGAUGUCGUUAGAGGCUCUGUUCAAAAUGUGUGCUGUGUAGAGGGAAUAGGGUCCAAAAUUAAGAGGGCGCCAUUUAGAACAUACUCUAGACUGAGUAAGCUGUUGUGUUGUGUGGUUGGUCAGCUGGAGGAAGCAGCCAGGCUGGGGUUGAAUGAGAACCCUCUUCAGGAAGCAGAGCAGGCAGGGAGGCAGGGAGGAUGGGAGGCAGGGAGGAUGGGAGGCAGAGAGGCAGGGAGGCAGGGAGGAUGGGACCUGAUCACUCCUUAUUUCAUUAUGGGGAAAUGAAAUCCACAUAAAUCCACCAAAUGGAGAGGAAGAGGCACAGAGGGAAUAUUCGCAUUUCUUCUUUCCUCCCCCCAUCCCUCCAUCUCUCCCUCCUCCGCUAUUUAGUUCACAGUGACUUUAAUCAUCACUUUGGCCAAAACACAUUAAGCCUUGACACAGUGUGUCCGGAGGUGAAUGGAGUGUGUGUGUGUGUGUGUGUGUGUGUGUGUGUGUGUGUGUGUGUGUGUGUGUGUGUGUGUGUGUGUGUGUGUGUGUGUGUGUGUGUGUGUAUGUGUGUGUGUGUGUGUGUGUCCGGAUGUAGGGGAAUGGAGUGUGUGUGUUUGUGUGUGUGUGUGUGUGUGUGUGUGUGUGUGUGUGUGUGUGUGUGUGUGUGUGUGUGUGUGUGUGUGUGUGUGUGUGUGUGUGUGUGUGUGUGUGUGUGUGUGUGUGUCCAGAUGUAGGGGAAUGGAGUGUGUGUGUGUGUGUGUCGGAUGUAGGGAAUGGAGUGUGUGUGUGUGUGUGUGUGUGUGUGUGUGUGUGUGUGUGUGUGUGUGUGUGUGUGUGUGUGUGUGUGUGUGUGUGUGUCCGGAUGUAGGGGAAUGGAGUGUGUGUGUGUGUGUGUGUGUGGGAAUGGAGUGUGUGUGUGUGUCCGGAUGGAGGUGAAUGGGAGGGGGGAGCAACACAUUAAAUUUGCAAUAGUGAUGCAUCACCAUCGCAUUACUCCACAGAUUAAAGAGGAGAUCAUGCAUUUAACUAGUUGGUGAUGAAGGCCGUCUGAUGGAUGGCAGUCCUCCUGGACCACACUGGGGCACACAACAACCAACCACCCUAAUCCUCAAUCUAUCCUCUAUUUAUCCUCUAUUUAUCCUCUUUUCCUCCAUCCAUCUAUGGUGGGUGACACCACCAGGGAGAAGGAGAACUCCUGACCUCAAUCC